AACGGGAGGGGCUAGUGUUAUUCAUAAUCAUUGGGCGUAAAGCGCAUGUAGAUGGUUAAUUAAGUUCACAUUUAAAACCCAGGGCCUAACCUUGGAACAAGUUUGAAAACUGAUUAACUAGAGUUCAAUAAAGGAUAGUGGAAUUUCUAGAGGAGAGUUUAAAUUCAUAGAUCCUAGAAGGAGGACCAAAGGCUGAGGCAACUAUCUAGAUUGUAACUGACAUUAAUGUGCGAAAGCGUGGGGAGCAAACAGG
rnacentral:rRNA from 1 species